AUCAGUUACACCCCACACGGCUGUCCUUGUUUUGUAUUCAGGUGCCUUAGGUACAAGACGGUCUUGGCCAAAGUUUUCUUUUAAAUACAAUGUUCCUUUCCAUCAUUGACCCACCAAGAAUAAAGAAGGACAGAAACUACUUGGCUGCAAAGAUAUUAGACCUCACCCUGGAGAUCAUCUCCUUGAUAACUGGAGAGGAUUACACAGUAGUGAAGAAGUCGUCUGGUGAGUGUGUGACACCCUGUGUGUCAG